rnacentral:rRNA from 1 species
GUGAACAACGUGCCCCGAAGACUGGGAUAGCCAGGGGAAACCCUGAGUAAUACCGGAUGUGGCGGACUUUCGGCAUCGAGAGUCCAUUAAAUGGUUUUUCGCUUCGGGAGCGAUUCACGGCCUAUCAGCUAGUUGGCGGGGUAAUAGCCCACCAAGGCGACGACGGGUGGGGGGUCUGAGAGGAUGAUCCCCCCGAGUGGGACUGAGACACGGCC